rnacentral:tRNA from 1 species
CGGGGAGUAGCGCAGGUGGUUAGCGCACCAGUCUGGGGGACUGGGGGUCGCAGGUUCGAGUCCUGUCUCCCCGACCA